rnacentral:rRNA from 1 species
CGUGGCAAGCUGCGAUAAGCCCAGGGUAGGCGCAGGCAGCCGUUAAACCUGGGAUGGGGCGAAGCACAGGUUCUUCGGAACCUGUCAGUAACGCCGGGAAUUGAAGCAUCUUAGUACCGGCAGGAAAAGAAAUCAAUAUGAGAUCCGGGUAGUAAGGGCGACUGAACCCCGGACAGACCGUCUCGAAUCCACCUCAGCAAUGAGGUCGGAGAUGUGAGGGGGAGCAUCCUAGUACCGACUCGAAGUGGGCUGGAAUGCCCCACCAUAGAGGGUGAUAGUCCCGUAGAGGUAGGUGCUAGGAGCGAACCAGAAGAGUACCGCUCUCUGGCUGAGAGCGGGAAGAUGGGGGAACUAACCUCCAAGUCUAAAUAUAGCGGAGAGACCGAUAGCGAAUUAGUAGCGCGAGCGAACGCUGAAAAGUUCCCCGGGAAGGGGAGUGAAAAGAGCCUGAAACUACGCCGGGACAGGCAGCCAAGGCGUGAAAGGGUACCUAGGUGAAGCCGACUGGGGCAACCCAGGAGGCCAUCCUAGGGUCAACGUCUUGGCAUUCUUCUCGAAGCAAGAGCCAGGGAGUUCUGCGGGGUGGCGAGGCGAAAGCCGGAGCGAAAGCGAGCGCCCGCAACGUUAAGUGAGGGGCGUCCUCCCAAAAGGGGAUUAGUCACCGCGCAGAGACCCGAAGCCCGUUGCGAACUAGAGCGGGGCAGGGCGAAGCCCACCUGACGGUGGGUGGAGGCCCGCAACUAGUGUUGGUAUAUCCACUUAGGUGACCUCGCUCUAGGGGUGAUAGGCCAUUCGAGCCGGGCGAUAGCGGGUUCCUCCCCAAAUGUGUCUCAGCACAGCGUCGCCGGAGGCGGCCUGAAGGGUAGAGCACUGAUUGGGUGGCCCGGGGGAGAAUAUCCCUCACCACCCUAUCAAACUCCGAAUCUUCAGGCGCCGUAGAUGGCGGCAGUGGGGCUCCCCGGGGUAAGCCUGGGGGUCUAUAGCGGAACGACGCUACGUGCGGUUAAGGGCCCUAAGUGCCGGCUAAGUGCGAAUCCAAAAGAGGGGUAUCCUCUUAGACAGCUGGGACGUAGGCUUAGAAGCAGCCAUCGUCUAAGCAACGCGUAAAAGCGGACCAGCCGAGAGGAUACCUCUCAAAAAUGGACGGGGCUAAGCCGGCCUCCGAUACCGCACCGGUCCCGAAAGGGACAUCGAGUAGGGAGGCGUCCGGAGUGCUUCGAAGCAGGGCCGUGAGGUCCUGUGGAGCGCUCUGGAAUGAAUAUCCUGGCGUCAGUAGCAGCAAACUCGGGUGAGAAUCCCGAAGGGCUGAUAGGGCAAGGUUUCCUUGGCAACGUUCGUCAGCCAAGGGUUAGGCGGUCCUAAGGCACCCCCUAAUAGGAAGGUGCCGAUUGGGAAAGGGGUUAAUAUUCCCCUCCCAGAGUGGUAGGCCUUGCAGCAAUGCAGCCCCCGGUAGCCGACGCCUUGGGAUAGCGGCAGCCCCGCAAGGGGUCUAAGCGCUGAAGCCCCCAGAGUCUCGUUGUGAGGAGAAGGGGGUGAAGGCGUGACGGGGUAACUGCCGCGACUCCUGGGGACCAUGAAAAGGCAGGGGGAACGACCCACUCUGACCGUACCAAGAACCGGUACAGGUGCCCUAGCUGAAAAGGCUCAGCCCAGUAGGGAGAACCCAGGCAAGGGAACUCGGCAAAUUGGCCCCGUAACUUCGGGAGAAGGGGUGCCUGGGAUCGUGCAGAUCCCAGGUCGCAGUGACCAGGGGAGAGCGACUGUUUAUCAAAAACACAGGUCACCGCAAGGCCGAAAGGCUGUGUACGGUGGCUGACGCCUGCUCACUGCCAGUACCCGAAAGCCCCUUACAAGGGGCCUAAGGGCUGGUAAAGAGCGGGGGUAACUCUGACCCUCUUAAGGUAGCGUAAUACCUCGCCGCUUAAUUGGCGGCUUGCAUGAAUGGCGUAACGACUCUCCCACUGUCCCUGCCUGGGACCCUGUGAAAUCACUUCCCGGUGAAGAUGCCGGGGACUCCCAGUGGGAAACGAAGACUCCAUGGAGCUUUACCACAGCCUGGUGUUGGCUUGCUGGUCCGGCUACAGAGCGUAGGCGGGAGCCGUCGAAGCCGCCUCUCCGGGGGCGGUGGAGGCGCCCAUGUAACACCGCCUAGUCGGGCUGGCAAGCCUAACCGAAAGGGACAGCGCCAGGUGGGUGGUUUGGCUGGGGCGGUACACCCACGAAAAGGUAACAUGGGUGCCCAAAGGUCUGCUCAGGCGGGUCAGAAAUCCGCUGUAGAGGGCAAAAGAUAAAUGCAGGCCUGACUUCUUCCCUAACAGCGUGGGAAGAAGAGGGGAAACCCGGGCUUAGCGAACAGCAAUAUCCCAUUAGUGGGGGAUUGCUCUGUCAGACAAGCUACCCUGGAGGUAACAGGCUCGUCGCGGGUGAGAGUACAUAUCGACCCCGCGGCUUGGUACAUCGCUGUCGGCUUGGGUCAUCCUGGCUGUGUAGGAGCAGCCAAGGGUUGGGUUGUUCAUCCAUUAAAGACCCACAUGAGCUGGGUUCAGUACGUCGCGAGACAGUACGGUAGUAUCUGCUGGGAGUGUCGCGCAUUGAGGGGAAGGAUCCCUUAGUACGAGAGGAACAGGGAUUCGGGGCCUCUGGUGUACCGGUUGUGAAAUGCACUGCCGGGCAGCUACGCCCUAGAGGAUAAGACCUGAAAGCAUCUAAGGUCGAAGCCUCUCCCAAAACGAGUGC